rnacentral:lncRNA from 1 species
AUGCACACACCAGAGUUGCCCGAUGUGGAACUAUUAAGGGAGGUCCCUCCACAGCCUGCCCACAACACAAGACAUUCAACCUGACAAAAUUUUAAUAUAAUAUGCAAAAUAGUAUAUUUCAAGCAAUGGCAAUAACAAAACAACUAACUAUUAUAUAUAAAUUUUACUUUAUCUUUACAGUAAUUCAUGUAAGUUUCAUACCACAUCAUCGAAUACAACUAUCCCAAAAAUAACCGUCUUUCACAGACCAUCCUUGUCUCUAUACAUGAUUUCCAAAAUAUCAAAGUCUGAUCUUCCAAAAAUGAUUUUUGAAACUGAAAACUACAGGUGAAAAUUUAUAAGCUUUAUGGCUCAGUAAGUAACAAAUACACAUGUAGCAUUGAUUUAAGCUGUGUUAAUAUGUAACUCAAAUGCAUCAUAUAAUGUAUGAUAUCAAUCUGUUUAUGAAGCAGAGUUAUACAAUUAAUGACAUUUGAAAUACAAUCUUAUCUAUUUUUCUAUAACAGAAAAUAAAAUCAGUAAAAAAUUUGAAGAUCCAAUAUAUACCCAUUUACAUAAUAG